GAUUUGUCUUGAAGCUGUGCCCAGUUAUGCACACAACUCUGAAGCAGAUGUAGCAAUAAACUUCUUGGCCAUUCCUAGCUCCUGCUUUUCUGUAAGUGCUUUGGGGAGACACAACCUGUUUCAGCAGAUAUAAGUCUUACCUCAAGCUGAGUGAAGAUUUUCUUCAGAUGUCUAAAACAUCCUUCAGCAAUCUCCAUAUCUUCUUCAUAGGAUCUGCCUCUGAAAAUUGGUUGAGGAGCAUUUGCAAAAUACUGAUGAAAGGGAAAGAAACUGGACACGUCUGUAACAUCUGGUAAUUUUCCACCUUUAACUUUCACUUUGCUGAUAUAUUCUUCCCAACGUGACAUUACCUAUGGCAAACAAAAGUGUCAUACAGAUGUGUUUUUAUAUAAUGAAGUCACUGGAUAUGUGUCAUCUCGUAUACACAGUUAAAAUGGUUAUUUUAUUAAAUCAAUUUUAUUUAAUAAAAUAAUUUUUAACGACAAAA